UGGGGAAUAUUGCACAAUGGGCGCAAGCCUGAUGCAGCCAUGCCGCGUGUGUGAAGAAGGCCUUCGGGUUGUAAAGCACUUUCAGCGAGGAGGAAGGUGGUGAACUUAAUACGUUCAUCAAUUGACGUUACUCGCAGAAGAAGCACCGGCUAACUCCGUGCCAGCAGCCGCGGUAAUACGGGAGGGUGCAAGCGUUAAUCGGAAUUACUGGGCGUAAAGCGCACGCAGGCGGUUUGUUAAGUCAGAUGUGAAAUCCCCGGGCUCAACCUGGGAACUGCAUUUGAAACUGGCAAGCUAGAGUCUCGUAGAGGGGGGUAGAAUUCCAGGUGUAGCGGUGAAAUGCGUAGAGAUCUGGAGGAAUACCGGUGGCGAAGGCGGCCCCCUGGACGAAGACUGACGCUCAGGUGCGAAAGCGUGGGGAGCAAACAGGAUUAGAUACCCUGGUAGUCCACGCUGUAAACGAUGUCGAUUUUGGAGGUUGUGCCCUUGAGGCGUGGCUUCCGGAGCUAACGCGUUAAA
rnacentral:rRNA from 1 species